GAAAGCAUGGGGAGCAAACAAGAUCAGAUACCCUGGUAGUCCAUGCUGUAAGUGAUGAGUGUUCAUCCUUGGUCUGCCUACCUACUAGGUAGGAUUAGGAUCAGGGGCCCAGCUAAUGCGUGAAACACUC
rnacentral:ncRNA from 1 species